rnacentral:lncRNA from 1 species
CGGCAAAAAAAAUACAGAUGCCCGCCCGAACCGACCCAACGAAUUUCAUCCAUGUUAAAUAAGAAACCUGACAUCAAAAAGGGCAAAAUUUAGGGUUUUUCGUAAGAGCAGUGAUCUCAGACAUCAAAAGGCGACUAACUUGAAGUAGGUGCAUUUAGAGAUGAUGAGUAAAUAAAGGUGUUCCUAAUUGAUCUCCAAAAGAAACCCUAAUUAAAGGUGUUCCUAAUUCUCCAAGAUGGCAACAAAUGAUGAUGGUUGAAGCAAAUCACGGAAUACAUCGUCUCAAAUAGUACGAAGAAGAGGAGAGAGAAUGAAAAUUGAAGAAGGAACUACAACUAAUAGAUUUAGCUGAAACUGCAAAGGAAAUAGACAACACAACUAAUAGUUUCGUCUCCUCUUCUUGACUUUCUCCUUCUUGAUUUCUGUCGGUUUUCUCUUUUCUCUUGGUCUUGUGAUGGCAUGCUUGGUUCCUCUCGCGGAAGUCAUUAUCUCUGCUAUUAGCGUCGCACCUGCGUGGGCUUAUUGCUAAUGGGUCUUUAUUGGCAUGGUUGAAUACUUGAAUCUGAUAUAGCGAUUGACACUGUUUUGGAUGCUAAUGUAUCGGAUUGUUCUGACGAAUCUGAAAUGGAAUCUGAUUCUUCUCAAAACCCUUUCUCUGGGUGACUCCCAAAUCCAGACCAAUUUCAAAUCUGCCAACUCUUUCUUAGCAAGAUCGCUUAGAUCUGAAGUCAAACAGCAGCUUAUCAAAAUUCAUUUAAUAAUAAUUAAAAUAUAAUUGAAUAUAUUUUUCAUUUAUUUUUUUAUUUUUUGACUAACUUUUCU